rnacentral:rRNA from 1 species
GACAACCUGGUUGAUCCUGCCAGUAGUCAUAUGCUUGUCUCAAAGAUUAAGCCAUGCAUGUCUCAGUACAAGCCAAAUUAAGGUGAAACCGCGAAAGGCUCAUUAAAUCAGUUAUGGUUCCUUAGAUCGUACCAACAUUUACUUGGAUAACUGUGGUAAUUCUAGAGCUAAUACAUGCAAACAGAGCUUCGACCGGAGACGGAAGAGGCGCUUUUAUUAGAUCAAAACCAAUCGGCGGCGGGUUCGCUUGCGGGCUCGUCGUCGUUUUCACUGACGAAUCUGAAUAACUUUCUGCUGAUCGCACGGUCUCGCACCGGCGACGCAUCUUUCAAAUGUCUGCCUUAUCAACUGUCGAUGGUAGGUUCUGUGCCUACCAUGGUUGUAACGGGUAACGGGGAAUCAGGGUUCGAUUCCGGAGAGGGAGCCUGAGAAACGGCUACCACAUCCAAGGAAGGCAGCAGGCGCGCAAAUUACCCACUCCCGGCACGGGGAGGUAGUGACGAAAAAUAACGAUACGGGACUCAUCCGAGGCCCCGUAAUCGGAAUGAGAACAAUUUAAAUCCUUUAACGAGGAUCAAUUGGAGGGCAAGUCUGGUGCCAGCAGCCGCGGUAAUUCCAGCUCCAAUAGCGUAUAUUAAAGUUGUUGCGGUUAAAAAGCUCGUAGUCGAAUCUGUGUCCCGCGCCGCCGGUUCGUCGCUCGCGGCGUUUAACUGGCGUGUCCGCGGGACGUCCUGCCGGUGGGCUUAGCCUUUUCAUUAAGGCGGCCCAAUCUUAAUCCCGCCGCGGUGCUCUUCACCGAGUGUCGAGGCGGGCCGGCACGUUUACUUUGAACAAAUUAGAGUGCUUAAAGCAGGCUAAAACUUCGCCUGAAUACUUCGUGCAUGGAAUAAUGGAAUAGGACCUCGGUUCUAUUUUGUUGGUUUUCGGAACCCCGAGGUAAUGAUUAAUAGGAACGGAUGGGGGCAUUCGUAUUGCGACGUUAGAGGUGAAAUUCUUGGAUCGUCGCAAGACGGACAGAAGCGAAAGCAUUUGCCAAAAACGUUUUCAUUGAUCAAGAACGAAAGUUAGAGGUUCGAAGGCGAUCAGAUACCGCCCUAGUUCUAACCAUAAACNAUGCCAGCUAGCGAUCCGCCGACGUUCCUNCNAUGACUCGGCGGGCAGCUUCCGGGAAACCAAAGCUUUNGGGUUCCGGGGGAAGUAUGGUUGCAAAGCUGAAACUUAAAGGAAUUGACGGAAGGGCACCACCAGGAGUGGAGCCUGCGGCUUAAUUUGACUCAACACGGGAAACCUCACCAGGCCCGGACACCGGAAGGAUUGACAGAUUGAGAGCUCUUUCUUGAUUCGGUGGGUGGUGGUGCAUGGCCGUUCUUAGUUGGUGGAGCGAUUUGUCUGGUUAAUUCCGAUAACGAACGAGACUCA